rnacentral:rRNA from 1 species
GACGAACGCUGGCGGCGUGCUUAACACAUGCAAGUCGAACGGAAAGGCCCUGCUUUUGUGGGGUGCUCGAGUGGCGAACGGGUGAGUAACACGUGAGUAACCUGCCCUUGACUUUGGGAUAACUUCAGGAAACUGGGGCUAAUACCGGAUAGGAGCUCCUGCUGCAUGGUGGGGGUUGGAAAGUUUCGGCGGUUGGGGAUGGACUCGCGGCUUAUCAGCUUGUUGGUGGGGUAGUGGCUUACCAAGGCUUUGACGGGUAGCCGGCCUGAGAGGAUGACCAGCCACAUUGGUACUGAGAUACGGCCCAGACUCCUACGGGAGGCAGCAGUGGGGAAUAUUGCACAAUGGGCGGAAGCCUGAUGCAGCAACGCCGCGUGCGGGAUGACGGCCUUCGGGUUGUAAACCGCUUUCGCCUGUGACGAAGCGUGAGUGACGGUAAUGGGUAAAGAAGCACCGGCUAACUACGUG